rnacentral:rRNA from 1 species
AGAUUGCAGGCUGCAACUCGCCUGUAUGAAGUCGGAAUUGCUAGUAAUCGCGGAUCAGCAUGCCGCGGUGAAUACGUUCCCGGGCCUUGUACACACCGCCCGUCACACCAUGGGAGCCGGUAAUACCCGAAGUCAGUAGUCUAACCGCAAGGAGGGCGCUGCCGAAGGUAGGAUUGGCGACUGGGGUGAAGUCGUAACAAGGUACC